GAGAGAGAGAGAGAGAGAGAGAGAGAGAGAGAGAGAGCGCAAAAAUCUGCGGAGGGUCCAUUUUCUUUCCUUCCCUCAACGGAGGAACAUUUGAUUUUCUCCAACAAAAGAGAUUUUGUUUUAUUAGAUUAGUUUACGCAUAUAUUUAUUUAUCUUUUUAAAGAUGUUCUGUAGAUUUUAUUGCGUUUUUGGCGCAAAUUCCUCACCUUUUUUAAACGGAUCCAAACAGAAGGUGAAAAUGGAUUCAUCGUAAGGAGCAGAGAGGGAAAAGGCUUCAUCACAUGACGGAUGAUGAUGAUGAUGAUGAUGAUGUGGCGCAAAGAUCCUUAAUAAUCCGCAGCGCAGAAAAUUCACUGGAAAAAGGAGACAAUCUGUUUUUCUCAGCACAAUACAACAAACUCCAACAGAUAAUGCAGGCUGACAGCAGGCAGCUCUGACUGUCUGAACAGGAAGUGCCAGGCUCUUCUCACCUGUUUCCAGGCAGCACAGAGGCCAUCUUGAAUGUUUUCAAUCACAACAGCAAUGCUAGGCUAACUGUAAAUAUAUUCUGAUCCUACAACCUCUUCCUGCUGGCUAAUAGGCUUCUCAAAGGAAGAAGGUCCCACAAGCUGAAAUUCCCCAAACAAUAACUGAACCAACGUCCCAAUCCUCCAACAAUCAAGCGUCAUCCGGAGUUCUUUGUUUGUGAGUGUUAUAAUAAGCAGCACAUCCCCUCAGCAGCAGCCCAGGCCCACAGAGCUGCCUUCCUGCGCAGCUAUGGCUCCCCCUAGCUACCUCUCCGUAUUUCCUUGUUAGUGCACACCCAGAGCCCUGACCCUCCCUGCCUAAAAAACACACCAAAUACACCAAAAUACACCUGAAAAGUUGACUUUCUCUCCAUAUAUCCCGAGUAAAGCGUCUCCAUUUGCCUCCCAGACGACACUGGGCCCCAUUGGUCCCAGCAGAACAGAGGAUUUCUUACCUUUUCAAACUGGCUCUGACUAAAACUGCCUUUCCAAAGUCCCAAGCUCGACACCCUCCUUCUUCUUCCCAGCAAUCCCUGCAAAAAAGGACACUUCCAUGUAUGUUGAAUAUGUGGGGGUGAUCAAAUUGGACAAAACCAUUUUUUAAAUCCAAAUUAGCCCCUCCAAAUGUAAAAUAAGGUUAUUUAGGCCUCAAAUAGAUAAAAGCACCAAUAUGGCACCAAAAAUACCAUUUUAAAUGGGUGAAAUAAUGAAACCCCCUACCUUGGAAAUACACUGUCCCACCCCCUAAAUUUCACACUUCUUCUGCUCCAUCCAAUAGCCAAACAGUUGUUGAAGAGACGCAGUUGUCGUUGAGUGCGCAGCUGAACUCUUGGAGACGCUCAGCUGACUUCAGCGCGUUUCCAAAGCCCGGAGCAUCUCAGGCAGCCUGCAGAAGCACAACUGAUGGGCUUUGUUGGUCAGACCGGCUGUUUUUGUUGCGGAAUAGAUUUGAAAAUGUGGCGGAAAGUUUAAAAUCCAGAUUAAAAUCCAGUGAAACCCAAAGAGCGCAGCGAAUCCAAGUUAGACCUCUCCAAAUUCAGCAGGUGUGUCCAGAGGCACAGAGAACUCUCCAAAGGCUCCAGGGAGGAAAAAAGAAGAUGUUCAUCAGAGUUUAAAGGUAAAAAUUCAAAUUUUAUUUCAAUAUUACAAUUUGGGUUAAAAAUAUUUAGCGACUCUCAAAUAAAGUCAAACUUAAAGAGCGCAAAGGAAAGCGAAUGCAAUGUUCCUAGAGGCGCAGUGACUUUAUCGGAAAUACAGCUUAUUAUUUUAUCUGUUUCUGCUUAAUGUUUAUAAACAGAUACUAAUAGCUCUGGAUCACACAUUAAUACGUAAACGUCCGGUCUGCCUGAGCAGAAAAGCGAAAAAGCGUAAAGAAAAGCAGUGAACGCAUCCAGUCAGCGCGUUGAAAUCCUCUCAGUCUGCGCCUCCAGCAAGGCUUCAGGAGGCUUCACACCAUUUCUGCAGCGGAUAAAAUCAGCGAAUCCUCGGGUGUGUUCACUCCUCCGACCGUUGAGGACGUUUCCCCCAAACAAACCUGCAUGCAAAUGAUGCUGCCGCCUCCUGCAGCGUUAAAGCGGCCCUGCCUCCACCUGCCUGCCUCCGGCAUGUUUACAUCCGCAUGCAGGCUCCAUUGGACGGGCGUCCGCCUCCAUGCGUGUCCAGAACGGCGACAAACACCCGCAAAUCCUCUACCAUUCCCCCGUAUCUGAAACCCCAACCUUGGACACACAGCGGCACACCAGCGGCGCUGUUCUUCCUGCGCGUCACUCUGCGCAUAAAACAGGAAUAGAAGAAGCUCUGUCCGUUAGAAACCACAAAGCUUUCAUUAUAUCUGCAGACAUGAAUGAGAGGAUCGCGCCUCACAUCUUGCUGCUGGUGGAAACAUCCGCACAUAGAGGCUUUGUUUAGCGCCAUGUGCGCAGCCGCAUGUGCGCAGCGGCAGCUGAACAGCGGCUCACAUUUCAGAUCCAGACAGCAGUCAUGGUGGGACAAACAGUCAGUCAUGAUUCUGCAGUAAAGACCACACUUGUGCAACAUCAGCAGCUGCGCGUUGGGCCGCAGUCAGAACGCGUAAUGCACAGGAUUCAGGCUGACAGUCUGUGAUGUAAGAUGCAUGUUUUUGCAUUUUUAUGUUUUUGUUUCUGCAGCGCUGCACACAGAUGGAGGAGCGAUGGCAGGAAUCACUCCAGGACAAGAAUCAGGUAGAAACCAGCAGAAACAGGCAUCAUUUCUACAUUCUAACCUCAUUUUGUUGUUUCACAUUAUUUUAUUCAAACUAAGUAAUGUUUUUUAUUAUUGUUUUUCAUACACAAGGAAAAUGUUCAUUUGAAAUAUCUUAAGUUCUUAAUAAAAGUGCAAUAUGAGGAUGUAAAAUCUCAUAUUUUCCUCUUUUGUUAUAAUUUUGUUUAUUCACACAAAAAUAUAAAUUGUUGGUAUAGUUGCAAGUGAUGUAAAUGUAUGCUCAUUACAGUGCCUUAUUAAUAAUAAAAGUUAAAUCCAUA